rnacentral:lncRNA from 1 species
GUUUUGUACCGCUGCGAUUUGGGUUUCACAGUUAAUACUACUGUGUGGGGAGAAACCAUUUUGUUUUUUAGCAAUCGAGAGGGAAGGGGUUAGAAAACAACCCUUUGCAAACAUAGCAGCGGCACAAAAAUGUUCCCACCACGUGCAGAGCUCCAAUAUUUAUGGACGUGCACAACGUACUGAGAUUUUUCCAUUUCUUUUAACGUCACUUUUAUUUCCAAAUGAAAUGUAAUUGAAUUCAAAUUUGGUUUUUCUGUCUCUUCCUCCCUUCUUUCUCGCCCUUCCCACUGGCAUUUUUCGUUUUGCUAUCCAGUGCAAGUGUAAUUUUAUAUCAACGACCACGCCGACGUUGUGCGUCCAUGUGUUCGUGUGCGCGCGCGCGAACGAUUGCCUCCAUGUGUGUGUGUGUGUGUGUAAUGGGGCCGAGGGUUUAAAGCAACGUCAGUGUCGUUGCCAAGCCCGCAGUCUCUCGUUGGCUUUUCGACAGUCUACACCUCUUGUCUGUUGUUUGACUGCCAUUCUCGUGGUCUCCCCCCCCCCCCACACUUCGAUUCCUAUCAUUCCUCACACAUCCUUUGUUGCGUUUCUCGUUGCCACUCAUUCGUCUUAUCCUGCCCUGAUAUAACACGCCUUCGUUUUCAUAGACUUUGGUGAUGGAAUUAUACAAUUAAAGUGUUGUGUGUAAACGUAGACACUAUCGAGUCAUCAAUCCUGAUCAGCCAGUGAAAACGCCUCACAGUUUCCAGCUCGGCUCAACGUGGUCAGCCCAAGUUUUGGGAGGCAAUGCACAGGAAUGACUGGAGCCCCUCGUCAUCGGAAACGGGAUUCUUGCAGCGCGGCCAUCUUGUGGGCGUCGUGAUAACGAAAUGGCGUCGCUCCUCCUCCCUACAGCCAUUGGAGAUACGUCGUGAAAAACACGUUACUACACCGUGGUCAGACGAAGUGAGAACACACGCUGCGGCAAGGAUACCCACACACACAAAAAAAAAAAACUUUUCGGGACUUUGGUCUGUUAUGAUGGGAACGUGAUUCCCGCCACCUCAUUGCCGCUGCUGGCCAUGCAUGAAGCAACUCUUAAACGCGUGAGAGCUUUAUUCCGUCUGCAAGCCGACGAAGGUUGCCGAAACCCCAUCUCUCUUCAAGCCGCUGGCAAAUCACUUAAACUGACUGCGGUCGAUUGGGAACUCGAGUACCAAGCCAACGACUGGUUUUCUUUCCCCUCCUUUUUGAAGUGAAACGAAGAUGGGGAAAGAGAGGAGAAAAAAAAAAAAAAAAUAAUAAUCAAAUGAAAAUCAAAAAUAAUUGUGACGUGAUAAAAACCCUGAACAUUUUGACGGGUUUAAAUUCCCCAUCUUCUUGUAUAUAUUUAUGUAUAUUUUGUGUGUGUGUGUGUGUGUGUGUGAUAGAUCUCUUUCUCUUCGUUAAUCUCCCUCCUCGAAUCAUUUUUCAUUUUUUAUUUGGACAAACAUUCUCUCCUCUCUUGAAGACGGACUUUUUUUUUUUUUUGCAUCUUUUUAGCCAUGCGGGCGCCCCCUCGACUGCUGCUAUAAAGAUCGUGAGAGCUCCCGCCCGUCUUGCGCAUCGAACGAGGUCGUUUUCAUUUUAUUCCUCCUCCCUGCUGCCGUGCCCUCUAGUAACGAUUUUUGUUUUGUUCCUCGGACGGCAUUAACCCCGACGCGGAUCGGCCCGGAUGGGUGUGAAGCACGCGCUCGGUCACGACCAAGCGCGUGCGCUCCGUCUGCCAAAGGGCGUCUCCGUCUCGUUCGUUCCAACAAAGACGUCCUCCUUUUUUCUUGAUCGAAAGAACAAAAUAAAAAAAAAAAUAAAUAAAUAAUCCUACGACGUCAGCCGGCCCGAAUCCCGGCCAAAACAAUCACCGAUCUCUGCACUUGGUUUUCAUUUCUCGUUGUGUAACCCCCUUCCUCAACGAAACACGGACUCGUCUUACUUACCACGCAGACCAUCUCUAACAACGUCGACAGAAAAAAAAACGAGGGAAAACUGAUAGAAGAGACGCUGACGCUUGCAAACGCAAUCCCUCUUUUGCUUUCCUUUUUGUGUGUGUGUGUGUGUUUUGUUUGUUAUCUUAUUUUCUUUUUCCCCCCAGAAAGUCUUUUCUCUUGUCUGUCUUUUUCUUCUUUUUCAGACGUUUUGUAUAUAGCCCCGAGACUCGGGAAUGAUGGAUCGUUUUCUUCUUCUUCUUCUUCUUCUUCUUCUUGGUUAUACAUCAAGAAGAAAGAAGGAAACGAAACGAAAGAGGGGGUGUAGUGUGCUGUGUUACUAGACUUCUUAUAUGGCAGACUCUCCUUUGCAGCGUACUGGAAAUAAUUCGUUCAACUGUCAGUAAAUUUGUCUCGCGCCCUUGCUCUUUCCUCCCCUAUCAUACAUCAAGCUGAUUUUCUCUUUUUUUUUUUCUUUCUUACCAACCAGACGACUACUGCUGUUCGUGAGCGCAACGUUCACUGUGUACGACGUCGUCUUCUCCGAACUCUUUGUUUGAACGCGCUGUUUCAGCCGAGCACGUAUGUAGUAGCCUACCAUGAAAAAAAAAAAGGAGUCGUUGCUACUCAAAUGCAGUCGUGUGUCACGGUCAACUCGAGGCACACGGCAAAACGUUUCUGUUUCGUGCAAAAAAAAAAACAACAUUAUUUUGCUUGU